UGGGGAAUAUUGCACAAUGGGCGCAAGCCUGAUGCAGCCAUGCCGCGUGUGUGAAGAAGGCCUUCGGGUUGUAAAGCACUUUCAGCGAGGAGGAAGGUGGUGAGCUUAAUACGCUCAUCAAUUGACGUUACUCGCAGAAGAAGCACCGGCUAACUCCGUGCCAGCAGCCGCGGUAAUACGGAGGGUGCAAGCGUUAAUCGGAAUUACUGGGCGUAAAGCGCACGCAGACGGUUUGUUAAGUCAGAUGUGAAAUCCCCGGGCUCAACCUGUGAACUGCAUUUGAAACUGGCAAGCUAGAGUCUCGUAGAGGGGGGUAGAAUUCCAGGUGUAGCGGUGGAAAUGCGUAGAGAUCUGGAGGAAUACCGGUGGCGAAGGCGG
rnacentral:rRNA from 1 species